AAGUCGUAACAAGGUUAACACCUCAUCGAAAGCCUUAGGCGUCUUGCAAAAGAUUCUGAAGUGCGCUAUAAAACAACUUCAAGCCUAGUCCGAACGAAAGUCUGGGCAACAUUCUCAAAUUGCGGGAACUCCCUAUUGAAAAGCCUUGAGUACCAAGUCUUGUGUUGAGAAACACAGAUGGUUGCAGCUAAUCACUGCAAGUAUGGUAAUAAUCUCAUUAGGAUUGGGUGAUCCGCAGCCAACUGUCUAUAAAGCAGACAACGGUUCACAGAUUAGACGAGAAUGGGUAGCACCCUUGUGUGCUAUUUAAGAUAUAAUCGGCCUCCAUUGCGAAAGCGUUGUGAGAGUAAGCGUUUCGUAGGUGAACCUGCGGAAGGAUCAUUAGUGAACAUCGGACUCUGACUCUGCAAAGAGGAGGUUUCCUUUCCACUACCACACACACUGUGCAUCUGUUCUUUUUUACAAUUCACUUUGUAAAGGAUUUUUAACACUUGUGAUAAAUUUAAUAAAGUCGUUGAUGUAAAACAAUUUGAUAAAUGAAAGAAAAA
rnacentral:misc_RNA from 1 species